AUAUAACGGUUUUAUCCCUAUAAAAGGUAAGGUCUAUUACCUUCCCAGAACUCUAAAGUCAUCUUAGUGUCUUUAACAAGUUAAAAUGGUGUUAGAAGUAAGUGCUUAUUUAUUUAUUUAUUUAUUUAAACAUUUUGUAGUGUGACUAAGUGGGAGCCAGGGGAUAACCCUGUGGGACAACCCUGUGCAGAGUUCUCUUCUACCCUAUUGGACCAUAGGAGUAGACUCAUCGUUACAUUUAGUGGCAGGUACCUUUACCUGCUAAGCCAUCUUUCUUAGCCCAACUUAUUUUUUAAAGGAAAAUAAUAGAAACAUAAAAUGGAUAUAAAUCUUUGUUACUGAUUUAAGAUCUCAGCUAUUGAUUGAAUGCCACAUACAAUAUCUAGGAAUGGUGUUCUAUUAAAAAAAUCUGAAUCUGAUUAAAAAUUAAUCAUUGAGCCAAGUAUGCCUAAACCUUAGUGGUAAUUAGCAGAAUUUUCCUACUUGGUUCUGUUUAAGUCUUAGUAGUUUUUAGAAUGUAAAUAUGUAUUAGUAGCCAAAUAUCAGGUACAAAGGUUAAUAAAAGUAUUUUUUCUUACUAUAAAAGUGGUGAGGAUUAAGUUUUGUAACUUUAUAUGUUGCUAUUAUGCUAAGGAAAUACGAAUAUAUUUUUCACGUCAUUAAAUAGUCCCUAAAAAAUGUUAGAGCUGGGUGUGAUGGUAUAUUCCUUUAAUCCCAGAACUUGGGAGGCAGGUUCGAAUAGAUCUCAGUGGAGACCAGUCUGGUCUGCAUAGAGAGGUCCAAAGUCGCAUAAAAGGAGAGGCCCUGUCUCAACAAAACAAAACAAAACAAAACUUGAAGGUCUAGAGGGAUGGUUCCUGGUCUAAGAACUUAACUGCUCUUCCAGAGGAUUGGAGUAACUCCCAGCAGUGUGUAAUAUCCAACUCCAAGGGACCUGACCCCCACCUCCUUGAGCAUCUGCACUUGUGCACAUGCCUCCACCUCCCCACAUAUACCUUAUACCACCCCACACACUUAAACAUGUUUAAAAAUCUGAAGACUACACAGCCUUCUAUUUCAUAGACAUAAUGUAUGUUUUUGCUUGAUAACAUUCAAACCCCCUCAAAUAUAUAAAUAUUGAUAAGCUUUGUCAGAUAAGCAUUCCAGUGUCUUUUGUUCCUCUUCCCUCAUCCCUCUCCUCUUUCCUCCUAAAUCCUAGAGAUUGAGCCCAAGGCUGCAGAUACACCUGUUCUUGUCUUUAUUUCUGAUCUUUUAAUAUUGGUUCUGGAAAGUAAAAGGUGUGUGUUACAGGAUAUAAACUUAAUGUUCAAUUUAAAAGACCUCUUUUUCCAAGUUGUUUUUCUUGUACUGAGGGGACUGUUGUUUGUCUAUCAGCAAAUGGGAAAUUGUGUGUCCUAGCUGACCCUUUGCUGUCUGCCAUGACUGUGGUAAGACACUUUUACAAGGGAGAGGGUAUUAUGCCUAACCAAGAGCAAGUGGGUCCCAGGCUGCCCUAUCUCCUAUGCUUGCCUUCCUCAGCAGCUAAAGGCACUUGCCACCAAGUCUGACACCAUAGUUUUGAUCCCUAGAACCCACCUGGUGGAAAGAGAACCAAGUCCUGCAAGUUGUGCCAUGGUAUAUAUCACUGCUUCAAAAAAAAAAAAAAAGUCCUCCGGUACCUGAGUUUCCUCUGAACUGCUUGGUCACACACUGUGUUAAUUACCUUAGUUAUCUUCUGGUUUAACUGUAACCCUGGAAACAGGCUGCCUCUGCCUCCCCAGUGCUAGGUGUAUGCCACCACCACCCGGCUACAUUUCCAUUUUUAGCCUGUAUUGUUUUUAUUUUACUUAACUGUCCCCAGAACCACACCAUCCUACUUUUGCACUCAUGGGAAUAAGCUAGUGACUUUCUGUGGCGCAAUUCUAGAAUCUUCACUGCCCCUUAUCUUAUGUUUCAGGGUCAUUUCUCUGCAGAGGAGGCUCUGAGUACUGUACUGACCAUCUAGCUUGAAAUCCCUCGUUAGCUCACAGGCUGGCCUGCUAAGUGGUAGAUGUGGAUCCUCUUACUUAAAAGAAAUGAGUGUAGCUAGUGCUGUAUUAAGAGUUGAAACCUGGCUUUUGGCAACAUGGCAUGUUAAGGUACCUCCAAUGUGGCUGGAAGCUUGUGUUAACUGGAUCC
rnacentral:lncRNA from 1 species